rnacentral:tRNA from 1 species
GGGCGAUUAGCUCAGUAGGAUAGAGCGCUGGUCUCCGGAACCAGAGGCCGUGGGUUCAAGUCCCACAUCGCCUACCA